rnacentral:rRNA from 1 species
UACGUAGGGGGCAAGCGUUGUCCGGAAUCAUUGGGCGUAAAGAGCGUGUAGGCGGCCCGGUAAGUCCGCUGUGAAAGUCCAGGGCUCAACCCUGGGAUGCCGGUGGAUACUGUCGGGCUCGAGUCCGGAAGAGGAGUGUGGAAUUCCUGGUGUAGCGGUGAAAUGCGCAGAUAUCAGGAGGAACACCCGUAGCGAAGGCGGCACUCUGGGCCGAUUCUGACACUGAGGAGCGAAAGCGUGGGGAGCGAACAGG